rnacentral:rRNA from 1 species
ACGAACGCUGGCGGCGUGCUUAACACAUGCAAGUCGAACGGAAAGGCCCUGCUUUUGUGGGGUGCUCGAGUGGCGAACGGGUGGGUAACACGUGAGUAACCUGCCCUUGACUUUGGGAUAACUUCAGGAAACUGGGGCUAAUACUGGAUAGGAGCUCCUGCUGCAUGGUGGGGGUUGGAAAGUUUCGGCGGUUGGGGAUGGACUCGCGGCUUAUCAGCUUGUUGGUGGGGUAGUGGCUUACCAAGGCUUUGACGGGUAGCCGGCCUGAGAGGGUGACCGGCCACAUUGGGACUGAGAUACGGCCCAGACUCCUACGGGAGGCAGCAGUGGGGAAUAUUGCACAAUGGGCGGAAGCCUGAUGCAGCAACGCCGCGUGCGGGAUGACGGCCUUCGGGCUGUAAACCGCUUUCGCCUGUGACGAAGCGUGAGUGACGGUAAUGGGUAAAGAAGCACCGGCUAACUACGUG